CCUCUUUCAACUGCCAGUGCCGUGGGAACCCUUCCAUUCUUAAUUUGGCGGGCUUGUGGCCGUCCGGUUGUAGUCUGGAGAAGUGUUAUCCGUCUCGGACCGUGUAUAAGUCUCCUGGAUUGCAACGCCGUCCAGGGCGAAAAUCCAGUCCAUGCCCCGCCCGCCCGCUGCUUUGAGAAGCCCUCUCCAUUAGUCUAGUCGGUUGGGAAUGCAUGUCGGCAUGGGUGGGAAAUUCCAUCUUAAGCUAAGUAUUGCGGAGAGACUAUCCGAAAAUGGUACCGUGAGGGAAAGAUGAAAAGCACUUUGGAAAGAGAGAUAAAUACCACUUGAAAUUGUUGAAAGGGAAACACUUGAAGUCAGUCGCGUCCCGUAGAACUCCUCCUGGCUUCGGUCUGGUGUAUUUUCUAUGUGGACGGGUCUGCUAUCCUUCGGGAAACUGGAAAAAGGAACAGGGAAUGUAACGGCUCUUCUAGUGGCGUGUUAUAUCCCGUUGUCAAAUACAAUGGAUGGGACUGAGGACCGCAGCACGCCCUUGUGGCCGAGUGGUUCUCUCGCACGUACCGUGCUCAGGAUGUUGGCAUAAUGGCUUUAAGCGACCCGUACUUGAAACACCGACCAAGGAGUCCGACAUGCUUGCGAGUGUUC
rnacentral:rRNA from 1 species